rnacentral:tRNA from 1 species
GCCUGGGUGGCUCAGUGGUUGAGCUUCUGCCUUUGGCUCAGGUUGUGAUCCUGGAGUCCUGGGAUCAAGUCCCACCUCAGGCU